rnacentral:rRNA from 1 species
UACGGAGGGUGCAAGCGUUAAUCGGAAUUACUGGGCGUAAAGCGCACGCAGGUGGCUGAGUCAGUCGAUUGUGAAAGCCCUGGGCUUAACCUGGGAAUUGCAGUCGAUACUACUCGGCUCGAGUAUGGGAGAGGGCAGUGGAAUUCCCGGUGUAGCGGUGAAAUGCGUAGAGAUCCGGAAGAACACCGGUGGCGAAGGCGGCCUGCUGGGCAGUAGCUGACGCUGAGGCGCGACAGCGUGGGGAGCAAACAGG